AGUGAACGCUGGCGGUAGGCCUAACACAUGCAAGUCGAACGGCAGCACAGUAAGAGCUUGCUCUUACGGGUGGCGAGUGGCGGACGGGUGAGGAAUACAUCGGAAUCUACUUUUUCGUGGGGGAUAACGUAGGGAAACUUACGCUAAUACCGCAUACGACCUACGGGUGAAAGCAGGGGAUCUUCGGACCUUGCGCGAUUGAAUGAGCCGAUGUGGGAUUAGCUAGUUGGCGGGGUAAAGGCCAACCAAGGCGACGAUCCGUAGCUGGUCUGAGAGGAUGAUAAGCGACACUGGAACUGAGACACGGUCCAGACUCCUACGGGAGGCAGCAGUGGGGAAUAUUGGACAAUGGGCGCAAGCCUGAUCCAGCCAUACCGCGUGGGUGAAGUAGGCCUUCGGGUUGUAAAGCCCUUUUGUUGGGAAAGAAAAGCAGCAGGUUAAUACCCCGCUGUUCUGACGGUACCCAAAGAAUAAGCACCGGCUAACUUCGUG
rnacentral:rRNA from 1 species